rnacentral:rRNA from 1 species
GGUGAACGCUGGCGGCGUGCUUAAGACAUGCAAGUCGAACGGCAGUCUUCGGACUGUAGUGGCGCACGGGUGAGUAACGCGUAACUGACCUACCCCAAAGUCGCGUAUAACGAUUCGAAAGAAUCGCUAAUACGUGAUGUGCUGUCAGAUUGUGUUCUGCCAGUAAAGAUUGCUUGCUUUGGGAUGGGGUUGCGUUCCAUCAGCUAGUUGGUGGGGUAAAGGCCCACCAAGGCGACGACGGAUAGCCGGCCUGAGAGGGUGGCCGGCCACAGGGGCACUGAGACACGGGUCCCACUCCUACGGGAGGCAGCAGUUAGGAAUCUUCCACAAUGGGCGAAAGCCUGAUGGAGCGACGCCGCGUGAGGGAUGAAGGUCUUCGGAUCGUAAACCUCUGAAUCAGGGACGAAAGACACUUCGGUGGGAUGACGGUACCUGAGUAAUAGCACCGGCUAACUCCGUGCCAGCCGCCGCAGUAAUAC